AUUGAACGCUGGCGGAAUGCUUACACAUGCAAGUCGAACGGCAGCACGGACUUCGGUCUGGUGGCGAGUGGCGAACGGGUGAGUAACAUAUCGGAACGUAUCCAAUAAUGGGGGAUAACGAGUCGAAAGAUUCGCUAAUACCGCAUACGCCCCACGGGGGAAAGCUGGGGACCUUCGGGCCUGGCGUUAAUGGAGCGGCCGAUAUCUGAUUAGCUAGUUGGUGAGGUAAAGGCUCACCAAGGCGACGAUCAGUAGCUGGUCUGAGAGGACGACCAGCCACACUGGAACUGAGACACGGUCCAGACUCCUACGGGAGGCAGCAGUGGGGAAUUUUGGACAAUGGGCGCAAGCCUGAUCCAGCCAUUCCGCGUGAGUGAAGAAGGCCUUCGGGUUGUAAAGCUCUUUCGCAAGGGAAGAAAACUUAGCCACUAACAUUGGUUGAGGUUGACGGUACCUUGAUAAGAAGCACCGGCUAACUACGUGCCAGCAGCCGCGGUAA
rnacentral:rRNA from 1 species